GCGCCCCGAGCAUGGCGGAAGUGCAGCGGUCUUAUAAACCGCCGGUGGUGGGUUCGACUCCCACGGGGCGCA
rnacentral:tRNA from 1 species